rnacentral:sRNA from 1 species
UUGGCCUCUUGCAACAAGUUUCGCGGACACGGCCACGCAACGUGCCGUUUCAACUUUAUCACCUGUAAGCAUCCAUAUCUUCACACCUGCGUUACGAAGGAGUUCGAGAGACGGUUUGACGUCCUUCUGGAGCUUGUCCUCAACGCCGGUGACGCCCAGAAGUUCGAGAUUCUGCUCCAGAUAUUGUUGGGCAACUCGUGCCAUUUCGGUGUCUCUGUUGUGUAGGGACAGUGAAGCCUGUUUGUAGCUGGUUGAAAAGUCUCUGUACUGCGCUUGAGAGAGUUUUUUCCUGCCAAUGACCAGAGUACGAAGUCCUUCUCUUCCCAUGUUUGCGGUCUCCUCAUCGAGCCAGUCAUUAGCGGCAACAAUAGAAGACAUGACGGUGUCAGCACCUUUUUGAUAAAACCAAAUCUCCUCAUCCUGCGCUGUUGAUUUGUCCAAAUCGGAACCUUGUUCGAAUAGAACGAUAAUGCCCAUGCGCUUGCUAUCAGAAGUAAAAGGGAAUACAUCCAGAAUCCGAACACGCACAACAACGUUGCCAGUGUUUACUGACUUGAGAACAAUCCUUUGCCUAUCUCUGUGUACUAACUGGAGUCCCACUUCCUGUGUAUAUUUCACAAUCGCAAUCUCAUCAGGGGACGAAGCCUGAGCGCGAGAGCCAGGAUUAUAUCUCGGACGCGAGAUCCAAUCUCUCGUCGAGUCCGUGUCGUUGAAGCCAAACCAGUGUGAACACCAUUUAUAGUUGUCGGGGUUACGAGCGAUGAUUGGUCAGAGGGGGCUGUAGAGAAGCCUUGCAGAAGAUAAGACGCCACUUCAUCCAUCGCCUCAUUCGCGUAAGAAACCGUUCCGACAUGGAUUUUCUUGAGUUCCAUUUCUAAAAGCGCUGUUAGCUCGGGAUUACUAUUGCAACACUCACAUCAUAUUGCUUACCGUUCUGGGUCAGGGUCCCGGUUUUAUCAGAGAGCAAAUACUCUAUCCUUCCCAGGUCCUCUGGAAUGGUGCUGGUUCUGACAACAGUGCCUGGAAUACCAGCAUCUCGCUCAAUAAACCUCCCAUACACAGACUUCGCCAUGUCCAGGUUAACGCGUAAACUCAUAGGAAUAAUGGUGGAAAAGAGGAUAAGAUAUAUCAUGAUGGCAAUAUACCAUGGCUUAUCGUUCGUACCCUCAAAACCUUGCAGAGCAACAAGAAUUGCGGAGAGGGAUAAGGUUAAAACACACAGAAUUUUCGUCAGGCUAUUGAUUUCGUAUUCGAGCAAUCCGACCUUCGAACGAGACGGUGAUGUCGACAUCGCUGAUCGAGUUUGAGCCCCGGUGUAAAUUACUGCGGCGAUUGUUAUUGUGUUUGACGCAAGAACUGUACUGGCCCAAGCAGUGUUGUCGAUUGUAAGAGGAGCCGACUGUCGCUCGGAGAGACUUUGAGGAUGACCGUCGGUCGAUUGCGGAUUGGUUGCGGAAUGAGCUGUUGCAUCUGUUUUGCUGAUAUGAGGGUCGUAAGAACUAUGAGUAUGGGGUGCUAGAGAAAUAGUUCCAACAAAAUUAUGUACGCUUUUCUCAGGUUCGCCUGCGAUGAUCUGUAUCCUAUGCAGCUCAGAGAUAGGUAAAUUUUGUGUUAGAGG